rnacentral:rRNA from 1 species
UGGGGAAUUUUGGACAAUGGGCGAAAGCCUGAUCCAGCAAUGCCGCGUGUGUGAAGAAGGCCUUCGGGUUGUAAAGCACUUUUGUCCGGAAAGAAAUCCUUGGCUCUAAUACAGUCGGGGGAUGACGGUACCGGAAGAAUAAGCACCGGCUAACUACGUGCCAGCAGCCGCGGUAAUACGUAGGGUGCAAGCGUUAAUCGGAAUUACUGGGCGUAAAGCGUGCGCAGGCGGUUUGCUAAGACCGAUGUGAAAUCCCCGGGCUCAACCUGGGAACUGCAUUGGUGACUGGCAGGCUAGAGUAUGGCAGAGGGGGGUAGAAUUCCACGUGUAGCAGUGAAAUGCGUAGAGAUGUGGAGGAAUACCGAUGGCGAAGGCAGCCCCCUGGGCCAAUACUGACGCUCAUGUACGAAAGCGUGGGGAGCAAACAGGAUUAGAUACCCUGGUAGUCCACGCCCUAAACCGAUGUCAACUAGUUGUUGGGGAUUCAUUUCCUUAGUAACGUAGCUAACGCGUGAAGUUGACCGCCUGGGGAGUACGGUCGCAAGAUUAAAACUCAAAUGAAUUGACGGGGUCAUAGCUGUUUCCU